AUUGAACGCUGGCGGCAUGCUUUACACAUGCAAGACGAACGGUAACAGCACUUCGGUGGCUGACGAGUGGCGAACGGGUGAGUAAUACAUCGGAACGUGCCUAGUAGUGGGGGAUAACUACUCGAAAGAGUAGCUAAUACCGCAUGAGAUCUAAGGAUGAAAGCAGGGGACCUUCGGGCCUUGCGCUACUAGAGCGGCUGAUGGCAGAUUAGGUAGUUGGUGGGAUAAAAGCUUACCAAGCCGACGAUCUGUAGCUGGUCUGAGAGGACGACCAGCCACACUGGGACUGAGACACGGCCCAGACUCCUACGGGAGGCAGCAGUGGGGAAUUUUGGACAAUGGGCGCAAGCCUGAUCCAGCAAUGCCGCGUGCAGGAUGAAGGCCUUCGGGUUGUAAACUGCUUUUGUACGGAACGAAAAGCCCUCUUCUAAUACAGGAGGGUCAUGACGGUACCGUAAGAAUAAGCACCGGCUAACUACGUG
rnacentral:rRNA from 1 species